GGGCGCUUAGCUCAGCGGGAGAGCGCCGCCCUUACAAGGCGGAGGUCGGUGGUUCGAAACCACCAGCGCCCACCA
rnacentral:tRNA from 1 species